AGAGUUUGAUCCUGGCUCAGGAUGAACGCUGGCGGCGUGCUUAACACAUGCAAGUCGAACGAAGCACCUUGAUUUGAUUCUUCGGAUGAAGAUCUUGGUGGCUGAGUGGCGGACGGGUGAGUAACGCGUGGGUAACCUGCCUCAUACAGGGGGAUAACAGUUAGAAAUGACUGCUAAUACCGCAUAAGACCACAGCACCGCAUGGUGCAGGGGUAAAAACUCCGGUGGUAUGAGAUGGACCCGCGUCUGAUUAGGUAGUCGGUGGGGUAACGGCCUACCAAGCCGACGAUCAGUAGCCGACCUGAGAGGGUGACCGGCCACAUUGGGACUGAGACACGGCCCAAACUCCUACGGGAGGCAGCAGUGGGGAAUAUUGCACAAUGGGGGAAACCCUGAUGCAGCGACGCCGCGUGAGCGAUGAAGUAUUUCGGUAUGUAAAGCUCUAUCAGCAGGGAAGAAAAUGACGGUACCUGACUAAGAAGCACCGGCUAAAUACGUGCCAGCAGCCGCGGUAAUACGUAUGGUGCAAGCGUUAUCCGGAUUUACUGGGUGUAAAGGGAGCGUAGACGGAGUGGCAAGUCUGAUGUGAAAACCCGGGGCUCAACCCCGGGACUGCAUUGGAAACUGUCAAUCUGGAGUACCGGAGAGGUAAGCGGAAUUCCUAGUGUAGCGGUGAAAUGCGUAGAUAUUAGGAGGAACACCGGUGGCGAAGGCGGCUUACUGGACGGUAACUGACGUUGAGGCUCGAAAGCGUGGGGAGCAAACAGGAUUAGAUACCCUGGUAGUCCACGCCGUAAACGAUGACUACUAGGUGUCGGGCAGCAAAGCUGUUCGGUGCCGCAGCA
rnacentral:rRNA from 1 species